UACAUAGGGUGCAAGCGUUGUCCGGAAUUAUUGGGCGUAAAGAGCUCGUAGGUCGUUUGUUACGUCGGAUGUGAAAACCUGAGGCUCAACCUCAGGCCUGCAUUCGAUACGGGCAAACUAGAGUUUGGUAGGGGAGACUGGAAUUCCUGGUGUAGCGGUGGAAUGCGCAGAUAUCAGGAGGAACACCAAUGGCGAAGGCAGGUCUCUGGGCCAAUACUGACACUGAGGAGCGAAAGUCUGGGGAGUGGACAGG
rnacentral:rRNA from 1 species